UGGGGAAUAUUGGACAAUGGAGGAAACUCUGAUCCAGCAAUUCUGUGUGUGUGAAGAAGGUUUUAGGACUGUAAAACACUUUUAGUAGGGAAGAAAAAAAUGACGGUACCUACAGAAGAAGCAACGGCUAAAUACGUGCCAGCAGCCGCGGUAAUACGUAUGUUGCGAGCGUUAUCCGGAAUUAUUGGGCUUAAAGGGCAUCUAGGCGGUAAGACAAGUUGAAGGUGAAAACCUGUGGCUCAACCAUAGGCUUGCCUACAAAACUGUUGAACUAGAGUACUGGAAAGGUGGGUGGAACUACACGAGUAGAGGUGAAAUUCGUAGAUAUGUGUAGGAAUGCCGAUGAUGAAGAUAACUCACUGGACAGAAACUGACGCUGAAGUGCGAAAGCUAGGGGAGUAAACAGG
rnacentral:rRNA from 1 species